GUAACAAGGCUCCGUAGGGUGAACCUGCGGAGGGAUCAUUACACAAAUAUGAAGGCGGGCUGGAACCUCUCGGGGUUACAGCCUUGCUGAAUUAUUCACCCUUGUCUUUUGCGUACUUCUUGUUUCCUUGGUGGGUUCGCCCACCACUAGGACAAACAUAAACCUUUUGUAAUUGCAAUCAGCGUCAGUAACAAAUUAAUAAUUACAACUUUCAACAACGGAUCUCUUGGUUCUGGCAUCGAUGAAGAACGCAGCGAAAUGCGAUAAGUAGUGUGAAUUGCAGAAUUCAGUGAAUCAUCGAAUCUUUGAACGCACAUUGCGCCCUUUGGUAUUCCAAAGGGCAUGCCUGUUCGAGCGUCAUUUGUACCCUCAAGCUUUGCUUGGUGUUGGGCGUCUUGUCUCUAGCUUUGCUGGAGACUCGCCUUAAAGUAAUUGGCAGCCGGCCUACUGUUUCGGAGCGCAGCACAAGUCGCACUCUCUAUCAGCAAAGGUCUAGCAUCCAUUAAGCCUUUUUUUCAACUUUUGACCUCGGAUCAGGUAGGGAUACCCGCUGAACUUAUGCAUAUCAAUAAGGCGGAGGAAA
rnacentral:rRNA from 1 species